CCAUGGGUGUGUUGUGUACAUGCUGCUCUGCAAGCGGGAGGCGGCGUGUCGCCCCUCCCGCCCCCACCCCAUCACUCUUCUCGCAUGCGCAUCGCUCACGUUCGCUUUCGCCAAGCAAGUUUCAACGGACAUGUUAUUUCCACGCCUGUUCACGUUUGUUUUUCCUAUUAUUUCUCAUGCUCCUUCUUACGCUCACAACUCUGUGUGUCUGUGUGUGUGUGCGUGUGUGUGUGUGUGUGUGCGUGCGUGCGCGCGGUUCCGUCUGUAUGACUUCACCUUUAUCCUCGCCUUUUCCCUCUCUUCUUUGUGUGUGUGUGUGUGUAUGUGUGCUCUUGGCGUUGUGAAUGUUGCUGCUGGCGUUUUGUCUUCCUGUGCAUGUUGUCUCUCUCCCGAUGUGUCCUCUACAUGCGCACUGCCAGCUUAUAUUCCUGUAAAGCCCUAUCGCCAUCAUCGCCAUCUCACUCCUUUUUGAUUCAAGCUGAUUCGUCGAGCAUGAAAGAGUCGUCCUGAGUCCAUGGAAGCGUUAAGGCGAGGAUAGCAUGCUGCGCAGAUCUCUCAUUUCUCGGCUGGACCAUGUGCGUCUGCUUUUUUCGUGGUAUUCGAAAUUUUUAUCCCUCAGCGAUUCUCGCCGUGCCUGUUCUUUGAUGUGUGACGGAGUGACGCGGCCUCCUCUCCGUUCCCUCGAUGAGGAGGGAGAGAAAGGGAAGGAGAAGGGGGGUCUGCCGCUGCCUUUUCGACGCAACAGACGGUACAUCAUCUAUCUCCACUGUUUCCGUUGCGUUUUCUCGGCGGCCUCUAACUCUUUUCAGUAUUCCGCGUCUUCUUCAGUUUAGGGAGAGGAGAGCGUGAUUUCGGUGUUUCAUCUCUGCGUGGCAGCGAGUGGUUUCUCGGCUCCUCACCUCCCAUCCCUCCUCCACGCACACGCACACCUAUAUAUGUCAUCGUCUUCAUGGGCGUCAUAAUCUCACCACCCAAUCCCCAACCGUGUAAGCAAGCUCUUGCCUGCUGUCCCUCUCUCCCUGUCUUCCGUUCUUUAGCUUCUUUCCCUUUGGAUGCUCAUUUUGCAUGUGUGCGUGUGUGUGUGUAGCCUUCGAUCGGCACUGGCACCUAACGACUGCAGGCUGCUCUCGACUCUCUCGCUGUGUGUGAUCCCUUUCAUCGUUAUUUGCGCAUCGGUUCGAGCCGCACAUAACACACGCAGCCACAGAGAAAAUAGCGAACACCCACGAGCACUGGCUUGUUUGGGACGGUUCAUGGUAAGGGCUACAUGCGACUGCUGCCGGAGAGGGGCCGCACGAACGGCCCAGCGUCUCCCAUCGGACCCCGUCUACAGCACAAGUAGGACUCAGUGGGCGUAACACCCAUUCCCGGUAGGAGCCUUUCAUUGCAUCCGGACAAGCUUUCUGGAGACACUUAGACGAUUACCAAAGCCCUUCUCAGCUCCCUGCUCGCCGCGCUGGAAGGAAUGAUGGGCUUUCUUUUCCACUGUUGUACUCGCCUGAGAGAAUCUCGCUCUCUGUCUCUCUCUCUAUCCCUCAUCUUCUCGUCGCUGUGCGUACGCCUCUGCGCCCACCUACGCACCAUCUUUCUCGCCUUAUCUUUCACUGUCGCGCGUGGCUCUUUACCUAG
rnacentral:misc_RNA from 1 species